rnacentral:ribozyme from 1 species
AUGAAUGAAUGAAUGAUAAAAAAAAGCAAAAGCAAAAUACCUUGGAUUGAUUGAUUGUUUUUGUGUGUGUUUUUUGUGUUUGCCAUAUCAUUAUUAUCACUAUUAUUAUUUUUCACUUUUACAUCUACACACAUGCCCAAAACAUAAAAACGCAAAUGUGUUUCAUUUUACAAUUAUACAAUAUAAAUAAUAUAAAA